AGAGUUUGAUCCUGGCUCAGAACGAACGCUGGCGGCAGGCUUAACACAUGCAAGUUGAACGGGAUUUGUGUGGUGCUUGCACCAUAUAAUGAGAGUAGCGCACUGGUGAGUAACACGUGGGAACGUGCCUUUUAGUGGGGGAUAACAUCUGGAAACGGAUGCUAAUACCGCAUACGCCCUGAGGGGGAAAGAUUUAUUGCUAAGAGGUCGGCCCGCGGUAGAUUAGGCAGUUGGUGGGGUAAAGGCCUACCAAACCUACGAUCUAUAGCUGGUCUGAGAGGACGAUCAGCCACAUUGGAACUGAGACACGGUCCAGACUCCUACGGGAGGCAGCAGUGAGGAAUAUUGGGCAAUGGAGGCAACUCUGACCCAGCCAUGCCGCGUGAGUGAGAAGGUUUUCGAAUUGUAAAGCUCUUUCGGGUGUGAAGAUGAUGACGGUAACACCAGAAGAAGCCCCGGCAAACUUCGUGCCAGCAGCCGCGGUAAUACGAAGGGGGCGAGCGUUGUUCGGAAUUACUGGGCGUAAAGGGUGUGUAGGCGGUUAAGUAAGAUAGUGGUGAAAUGCCGGGGCUCAACCUCGGAAUUGCCAUUAUGACUAUUUAGCUAGAAUGAUGCAGAGGAUAGCGGAAUACCCAGUGUAGAGGUGAAAUUCGUAGAUAUUGGGUAGAACACCAGAGGCGAAGGCGGCUAUCUGGGCAUUGAUUGACGCUGAGGCACGAAAGCAUGGGGAUCAAACAGGAUUAGAUACCCUGGUAGUCCAUGCUGUAAACGAUGAAUGCUAGUUGUUGGAGGAAUUCAGUGACGCAGUUAACACAAUAAGCAUUCCGCCUGGGGAGUACGGUCGCAAGAUUAAAACUCAAAGGAAUUGACGGGGACCCGCACAAGCGGUGGA
rnacentral:rRNA from 1 species